rnacentral:tRNA from 1 species
GUUAAUGUAGCUUAAUAAACAAAGCAAGACACUGAAAAUGUCUAGAUGAGUGUUCAAACUCCAUAAACA